ACGCGCGCAGGGCGCGCAGGUGGGGCUGGCGAGGCAAGCUCGCACGGAAAGGAACCGGAGCGCAGGCUGCCGGCUUCGGGGCACGCAAGUUUUGUCUCCUCUGCACGAAGCUUAUUAAUAACAGGCAUGGCUCCGUGCGUGCUCUCAUGCCUCCUAGAAGCGUACUUCCCAGUGUGUUUUGUUUUAAAAUCAGAGGUGCCUCAGUUCUCUGGCACAGGAACUGGUGAGGACCUCCCUUAAACGGCGACUCCAGAGUCCCACGGGCAUUAAAAAAAAAAUGAAAGAAAAAGUUACAGAUGUUAUGUAUAAAGUGUCAGAAUCUAAGUCCCUUCACAACAUCCCAUAAACAAAAUGUGUACUUUGCUCAGACAUAUUAUUUAUAUAAUUCCAGUGUUUGGAGAUUUGUUGAUAAAUUAAGUUUGGAGGGCAAGAAAAAAAUAUGAACACCAAGACAGAUUCAUCAUACAAACCACUCCAGGCAACCGAAAGCUCGCAAAAUUCCACAUUAGCUUAUUUUCUAUUUAAACUUUGAUUUGGUGGAUCUAUGCUCUUCUUUCCCAAUUAUUACCCAGUAAGCCUAUGAUGCCUAGCUACACACACACACGCACACACACACACACACACACGCACGCACGCACACACAGGCACAAUUUAUUACACAAGUAACACACCAUUAUUGAAGAGGGGGAUUCUCUGGGGUUAGGAUAUCUAGUGUCCACUGUAAAAUACACAUGUUUGUCUCCCAGUUUGUGUGGAAAGAAAGAGCCAGAUUCACUGUGUAAUUGUAACAUGUUUUCCCAGCUAAUUCCAAUGCUCACUUAAGUUUAUGUAGGAAUGUUUGUCGGUCUAGCACUCUUUACUUCUGGAACAGAACUGUGCCUCUUCUUCAGACUCUGCCCCUAUUUUUCUAGACAUGUAAUUAGGAAGGGAGGCGUCGUCAUGUGUGGCCUGGCCUCCCUGGUUCCCACAGUUGGUCAGGAGGCAUGUACCUGACUCCUUCUGGCUUCGGGGAUUUGGUCAAGGAGCUGAUGUGUUACCCAAGAGGUGCCAGCCAUUUCCCGACAUUCUUCUAACUGUAGGUUGGGAGUGAACAGAGGCCUCCUCUCUUUCUCUUGGUGGCAAAACUGGACUGUCGGCCACCACUGACCUGCCAAGUGCAGAGACUGUAAAGGAGACCAACUUUCAUGGAGUGACAGACUCAAAGGGCUGAGACUCUCUGUGGCUUUUUAGAGUUCCAGGAUUCUUAUGUGACGUUCUCAAGGCAGUCCCGUUUCCUGCUUUCUGGAAGCUGGGUUAUUCAGCAUUUCUGUAGAUUCUGUGAGGUACUCUGGUAUCCUAAUAAAAUAUACAUUGAUAAAAAUAAUUAACAAAAUGUAUAGAAUACUAUUUGGAAUGCACUUUACAAUUAUGUUAUUUCUAACGUGCUUUUUUCCACAGAAAAAUCUACUUGGGACAUUCAUCAUCAUUUUUAAUAGCUGCAUGUCUUGUUGUUUGAUAAACCAAUUUGUUUUACAUUUUGGUAUUUCCAGUUUUUAAACAUUAUAAAUAAGGCUGUGAUGAACAUUAAGAAGAAAGAACUUUUCCAGAAGCUUCCAGCAACCUUCUCUUGGAGCUGGUUUGGUCAGAAUCCGGUCAUAAGCCCAUUCCAUUUAAACCACCAAUAAAGGGCCAGGGCAGGCGGUUUGACUAAUCUGAGUUCAUUUCUAGAGUUGGGCUAAUUUACAUGUGCUUAUCGGGUAGAGAGUGGGAAUUUUGUUCAAUAAUCAUAUUCUUAGGGCCAAAAAUUAUUCAGUACACAAGUCAUUCCUGCACAGAUGACAAUACAUAUGAACUCUUAGAGAGAAAUGCUAUUUAAACAUUUUGACCUUCAUUUUAGUAGGUACUCAAGCUUACACUGCACACAGAAUGGAUUUAAGAAUAUAGAGUAUAAACCAAAAAAUAGUAUUUUGUAGUCAGAGCCCAUCCAGACCAGUUACUUGGAUUUCAAAAUACACAAAGUAGCUUUAUACAGAGAUCCAAAACUGUAAAUGUCGAUGAACAGUUACAAAAACACACCAGUACUAGGAAAGAAAACCCAAUCUACAUGUUGGUGGGGAACAUGUGUUGGGGUAAGUACAACAAAGCAAGUGGUUACUUGUAGUUGACCCCCUUUUUUUUUAAAACUGGAAGCUGUGUUUGAAAAGACACCAAGAAAGUAAGUCUAAGACAACAUUAAAUUUCCAGAAUUAAACACAUUUUGGGUAUUUACAUAUGUUACCAAUCCACAGUAGGCUGAUGCCCUGUGGGUACUGGCUGGCUGGCAGAGUCCACUAAUACAAAUACACGAGGCCCAUGUGCUUCUGCUUAAUCUCACAUUCAGUCCAAGCCCACUUCAGUGCUCAUGGGUUGGGCCAUGCAUUUGGCCACUUCUAUCUUUUGGGCGAAAAUAAGCAGUAAGUAGGAUCUGAUUGAGUUAUGUUUGGAAGUAUUCUCAACAAAUAAGACAUGUAUGAAGUACCUGGCAGAUAGAAUGAGCCCAAUAAAUGUUAGCUUUUUAAAAAUUCUGUACUUGCAUUGGAUGGAACCCAGAAGUAGCAAUGGAAGCUGUGAUUGCCACCCUGGAAGGCCUGCUUACAACCAUUUUAUUCAAACUUUUGAGGGGAUAGCACUCUGUUCUGGCUCACGGGAUAAAAAUAAGUGCUUACCACUUGUUCAACAGAACUUACUUUGAUGAUGAAAAGUUCUAAAUAUAUGUGCUGUCUUUCGCAGUAGCAACUUAUAAUUACUGAAGAUUGAAAUAUGGCUACUGCAAAAAGGAAUUAGUGACAAGCCUCCCUCCCUGUGAGCGAGUAGUGGAUAUUUUGUUUCUUGGAAGAGCUGCAUUUUGGACCUUACAUAAUCUUCAAAACGGGAGCGAUCUGGACAUGAAUGAGUCACCUGCAAAUCAUACCAAUGUCUGCCCCUGUCUGGGUUACUCAGUUCCCGAGCUUCAAGCCAUCCUGGUAGGUAGUGCUCCUCGCAUAGUGGGCUGUCAAAUACCUGCUUUAUGAAUGAAGAUAAGAAAGGCAGACACGUGUGUGGGUGGGCAGUCUUUUAAAAAGAAAUAAGUUGUGGACCAGGGGGUCUCAAGAUACCUUUAAAAGAACGUCUUUAUU